GAAGUAUGCUUGACUUUGACUUUUCAAGAAAUCUUCCUUAGAAAGAGCAACUCCAAAUAUCUGGACGCUACUGUGCUACAUGAGUAGCAUGAGUAAAAAAUGGUCUACAGCAUCAGUAUUUUCAUUAAUGACCUGUGUGAUACAACAGACUUUUUGUAUUUGUGCAGAACAAGAAGAGAAGCAGACAUGCUAGAACAUGACAGAAAAAGUAUUCAAAAUUACUUUUUUC